rnacentral:rRNA from 1 species
CAAGUCGAACGCGAAAGUUUCCUUCGGGGAACGAGUAGAGUGGCGCACGGGUGAGUAACACGUAGGUAAUCUACCUUUGGAUGGGGAAUAACAACCGGAAACGGUUGCUAAUACCGCAUAAUGCAGCGGCACCUAAUGGUGACAGUUGUUAAAGCGGGGGAUCGCAAGACCUCGCGUCUGAAGAGGAGCCUGCGGCGGAUUAGCUAGUUGGUAAGGUAAUGGCUUACCAAGGCUACGAUCCGUAACCGGCCUGAGAGGGCGGUCGGUCACACUGACACUGACAUACGGGUCAGACUCCUACGGGAGGCAGCAGUCGGGAAUUUUGGGCAAUGGGCGAAAGCCUGACCCAGCAACGCCGCGUGAAGGAUGAAAUCCCUCGGGAUGUAAACUUCGCAAGAACGGGAAGAAUAAGCGAGAGUUAAUAUCUUUCGUGAUGACGGUACCGUUUGUAAGCUCCGGCUAACUCCGUGCCAGCAGCCGCGGUAAUACGGGGGGAGCAAGCGUUGUUCGGAUUCACUGGGCGUAAAGGGCGCGUAGGCGGCCAGCGCAAGUCAGUUGUGAAAUCUCCGGGCUUAACUCGGAAAGGUCAACUGAUACUGCGCGGCUAGAGUGCAGAAGGGGCAACUGGAAUUCUUGGUGUAGCGGUGAAAUGCGUAGAUAUCAAGAGGAACACCUGCGGCGAAGGCGGGUUGCUGGGCUGACACUGACGCUGAAGCGCGAAAGCCAGGGGAGCGAACGGGAUUAGAUACCCCGGUAGUCCUGGCCUUAAACGAUGAAUGCUUGGUGUCUGGGGUUAUAAAGUCCCCGGGUGCCGUC